UAAAAAUUAAACAAAAAGUAGCAGAUUGGUUCGUGUGCUUCUCAAACACCGCACAAACAGUUAGUUCGCUGUGCGCUUCAUUGGCGAUGAAUUAGCAUUUUCUUAAAUUUCAUUAGCAGUGCGGUUUCACAUCGCUGCACAGAAGGCAAGCAUUUGUUUGGGCAACAUAAAAAAGAUAAAGAAAAGAAAAAUUCAACGAAAAUACAAAGACAGCAAAAUUGAGCGCUAUUUAUCUUGUAUUGUUAGUCAACAUCUUGUUUGGAUUGCAAACAUUUUUUGGACGCGUUUAAUAAGAAUAUGUAUGAAACAACAACACAGCCUGAUAAUUAAAUUCCAGAACGCUGCUUAGGACCUCAAACAAAUAACAUUAACCCUUGCGGCGCAAUUGCGACGCAAACAUUGUGAAAACUUCGCGAAGACUCUCCACAGAAA